UAGCAUCGGUAGAGGACGGUUGUGUUGUAGUUUAGGAGAUAUCGCAGUGUUUGUUUACAAAAUCAUAGCAUCAAUAUGUCUGAUCAUAACGGAACCAACAACAACAUGUAUAUUACAAAUACAUACCAUGUAAGAAGUGAUGCGGUGCAGAUUGGAAAUGGUCAAAAUACAUUACACAUCAACAAUCAGCUACGGGAGGAGGUGGGUGAACUAAGAGAAGAGGUGGAUGAGUUAAAAGAAAGGGUCAGACAACUGGAGGCUAAAUUACAGACUAAUACUGAUACAAACACUGAGGAGCCAGAAUAUCAGAUGAAUGAGAGAAUGACCGCGUUAGAAUAUAACAAUGUACAUACAAACACUGAGGAACCAGAAUAUCCGAUGGGUGACGACGAGGAGGAGGAGGAUGGGGAUAUGAUUACUCUGAAAAUUCAUUAUAUGAAUGGUAAUAUGACUAUAAGUAUAAGUAGAAGUAAAACUGUUGGUGAACUAGAACAGAUAAUACAGGAAUAUAGAAGAAGUAAGUAUGGUGGAGAUGCUGGUGGUGGUGGUAUUGGUAGUAUCUACAAUGUAAAACAGAAUCAGUACAUCUACCUAUUCUGCAACAACAAUAUCAAACAUCUACCAUUGUCUUAUUACGGUGUAGAGGGGGAUGAUAUAGUUCGGUUGUGGUGAUAGUGUCUGGCAGUGGUGGCGGAAGUAGUCUCUUUGAUUGGAUUGACUUUUAAAGUAGUUUGAUUGUAUUGAGUUAAAUCAUACAAUGUUAAAAUCAUGUCGACUUGGUAUUAAAAUUUAAAUGUUAAUUGACAAUUUUAUAUUUGUAUCGUAUAUAAUUACAGCUACUGUAUUUAAAAGAGAGAGAGAGAGAGAGAGAGAGAGAGAGAGAGAGAGAGAGAGAGAAAUGGGGUUUAACGUCCACUCGACACAAACUAGGUCAUUUCGGGACUAACAUAUGGUUUAAUUUUAUUUCAAUAAUUCGCUUGCGCGUAGGGGUCUUUAGCAGUGGGAGGAAACCGGAGGACCCGGAGAAAACCCACGAGGUUGGACAGGCAACCCUACUCCUUGUCACGUACAACCGGGGAUUCGACUGUAUUUAAAAUAUACAUCUUUCAUGUAGAGUCUAUUAGUAUACAUUUCAUACUGUACCAUUCUCGUCCAACAACUAGAUACAACCAUCGCGGCCCCCACACCAUACGCUCUCGGCUAACAAAGGGAUAGAUCCAAGGAUCUACCCGUUGGUGACCCAGUGGCUUACUCAUUGACCCCCCCCCCACCUCCAAACGCACCCAGUGUAUUACUCACUGAGCCACAGCGGUCCCCCUUUUCUCCAGAAUUCUCGUCCAACAACUGAGUGGGCCAAGAACAUGGAAAAUUGGUAAUUGCCUUGUAUCACUGCUAACUAUAAGGCACAGGGAGCCUUGGGCAGAAAUGAUAAUAAUAUGGUUCUCAGAUAUGUUACUGUGUACAGACUGAACAAAAAAUAUAUAUACACUUGCUAUUACAUGUACAUUAUAUCAUUGGCAAUAAUAAGAUCCAAUUUUAGUUUUUAGUUACACACUGUUAACCACCAAUAGAUGAAAAUAAAUCAUAAAAUGUA